rnacentral:miRNA from 1 species
UCAAACUGUGGCCCUCCAGAUGUUGCUGAACUACAACUCCCAUGAUUCUCUUGCUAUCUAUGUAACUCAAAGAAUCAUGGAAGUUGUAGUUCAGCAACAUCUGGAGGGCCACAGUUUGA